UUGGCUUCUCCUUCCGCCUGCAUCAUCGCUUCUCUCUCCGUACUCUGCUGCUGCUGCUGCUGCUGCAUCCUCAUCAUCUUCUUUUUCUUGUCAUCGACCUCUUUUCCCGUCGAUAGGAAAUCUGCGAAAAUCGAGUCACAGGAGGAAGUUCUUCCUUCCGGCAGCACCAGCUGUGCUGGAUGAGUCCCCUGUGUUCGACCCGUCGCCCGGUUCCAAGAGUCUCACGAUGUCAUCGCUCCCUUGAAGCUGAAAUUGCUCGAACUUCUAAAAUAAAAAUAACAUUCAUAAAAGCACUCGCAUCACUCAAGGAGACAGGGGAGCUGUGGGUGUUUGUCAUCUCAUGAAGCCAGCCAGCUAAUUUCACCUGAAAGUCAAUGUAAAUUGUUGUUAUACAGCAUACACUAUGCUGUUGUGAUAUUGAGGUAUGCAAUAGCAAAAAACAUUUGAGGUAUACAGUAGCUGUCCAAGCUGACUUUGAGGUGCAAAUUAAAACCUUGUUGCUGCUUCCUUAGUCCUAGAGGAAAAAAUGAACUUGCUUUGUAUCUGCAAGCACACUUUCUAGUCAGAGUGGUUGUGCAACGCCAUCCAAUUGUUGAUAUAAAGAAAAUGCAAACCUCAAGAUCUUAUUUUUAUCACAGAAGACUCAGAACAGAGAUAAUUGAAGCCUUGGAAAAGAUUAAGAAGAGUUUGACUUUCCAAAAACUAGGUUGGAAAUUGAAGCUCGUAUAUCAUUUGAAGGUGGGGCUCAAUCUCUUAAGAAAGAUCUUGACUUUCUCUAUAGAUUGACUACUACUCUUAUAUACUAGAUUGGUACAGAAAAGUACGAGCACCAAAGCCCAUGGAGAAUGAACCAAACAACAAGAGGCUACUACUCUUACCUUCUUUUAUUAAUUUUUCUCUUAUUUAGGUGAGAACAUGUAAAUGGCAAUAUUUUAGGUGACAAUCUCAAAAGAUGACACUGUAAUUCUUGAUGGAGCUGGUGACAAAAAGGCUAUUGAAGAGAGAUGUGAGCAGAUAUGAUCUGCAAUUGAAGUAAGCACAUCCGACUACAACAAAGAGAAGCUGCAAGAGGUGUUGUCAAAACUUUCUGGUGGUGUUGAUGUGCUCGAGGCCCCUGGUUUUGGGGUGAACAGGAAGGCUAGUUUGCAAGAUCUUGCUACUCUCACUGGUGGAUCUGUUAUAACAGGAGAACUUGGUAUGAACAUUGGGAAAGUUGAGUUCAACAAGCUUGGCACAUGCAAAAAGGUCAGAUUGUGUUCUUAUACCCUCUAUAGCCCUUUGUUACUAGUGUCUGUCAAUCCUUGCUCUCAUUUCUUUAUACCUGUUUCCAGAUCUAGAAGAAGGAUUCGAGCUCAUAAUUAAUUGAGGUGUCUAAGGGGUCUCAUUUUCUUGUAGUUUCCAAUCUGUGUUGGCUGCUUUACAAUUUUAUCUCGAUAUUCUGGUUCUGUUAUUUAGUUAAAAACCUCCAUUUACAUAAUUUGCAUUAAUUUUUUUACUGCAAUCAGUAUCAAUUGAUUUGAUUUAAGAUUAUCAUAUUAGAGAAACUAUUAUGCUCUUUACUUAGUUUUGCACCAACAUUGAUCUUGUAAGUGAUAAUAUUUUAGGUGUCAAUCUUAAAAGAUGCCACUGUAAUUCUUGAUGGAGCCUGUGACAAAAAGGCUACUGAAGAGAGAUGUGAGCAGAUUGGAAUUAGACUUGGCUGGAGUAGAAACUAUGUCGUGCUUCGAUGCUUCGGGGUGUGGAAGAUGUUGCUGAUGCAGUGAAAGUGACCAUUGGCCUGAAGUGUGCAGGUAGCUCCAAGUACACAUUUUUCAACAUAUUCAGUGACAUCGCGCCGGUUCCCUAUUCCUUGCUGUUCGAGGCUAAGCUGGACUCCAGAGCAAAACCAUCCAACAGUUGCUUAUCUUCCGAGCUUCUGGAUGAUCGCUUCGUCCUUCACUGCCAUCACUGGACUGCCUACCUCUGCUACCUCUCAUCCAUGAAUACCAUGAACCUGAUGCUUCUGUUUCUUCGGCUAUGCUUUCCUGGAAAUGGGUAGUACUGGAGAGUGGGGUCGAAAAUUCAUCAGAUCAUUGCAGCUCUUCAAAUUUUGUGAAGGUGACGAGGACCGGAAUAGUAGGAGCGAUGGGAAUGGCCAACUGAAAUUGAUGGCAGAGAAAUCUAUAGUUUAAUGCUUGAGAAAGUUGAAGCAGCCUAAGCCCAGUGUUGAAUCAUGAGAAUUUGCUAUUUUAAUCCUGAGUUAUAUCUUAGAUGCAGCAAUUGGAACAUAGAAACCAAAUGUUAUAAAUCAAUAGAAAGUACUUCUUUCCAUUAUGUGAUCAUGAGAGAAUUGUAUAU